GUCCACGCCGUAAACGAUGAAUGUUAGCCGUCGGGCAGUAUACUGUUCGGUGGCGCAGCUAACGCAUUAAACAUUCCGCCUGGGGGUACGGUCGCAAGAUUAAACUCAAAGGAAUUGACGGGGCCCGGCACAAGCGGUGGAGCAUGUGGUUUAAUUCGAAGCAACGCGCAGAACCUUACCAGCUCUUGACAUUCGGGGUUUGGGCAGUGGAGACAUUGUCCUUCAGUUAGGCUGGCCCCACGAACAGGUGCUGCAUGGCUGUCGU
rnacentral:rRNA from 1 species